rnacentral:rRNA from 1 species
UGGGGAAUAUUGGACAAUGGGCGAAAGCCUGAUCCAGCCAUGCCGCGUGUGUGAAGAAGGUCUUCGGAUUGUAAAGCACUCUAAGUUGGGAGGAAGGGCAGUAAGCGAAUACCUUGCUGUUUUGACGCUACCGACAGAAUAAGCACCGGCUAACUCUGUGCCAGCAGCCGCGGUAAUACAGAGGGUGCAAGCGUUAAUCGGAAUUACUGGGCGUAAAGCGCGCGUAGGUGGUUCGUUAAGUUGAAUGUGAAAGCCCCGGGCUCAACCAGGGAACUGCAUCCAAAGCUGGCGGGCUAGAGUAGGGCAGAGGGUGGAGGAAUUUCCUGUGUAGCGGUGAAGUGCGUAGAUAUAGGAAGGAACACCAGUGGCGAAGGCGACCACCUGGGCUCAUACUGACACUAAGGUGCGAAAGCGUGGGGAGCAAACAGG